CGGCCGGACAAGUCCGUUGGGAAAUCCGCACGCUUAACGUGCGGGCGUCCAGCGGAAACUGUCCGGCUUGGGACCGGAAGACCCGAGGGGUACGUCCGGGGUAGGAGUGAAAUCCCGUAAUCCCGGACGGACCACCUGUGGCGAAAGCGCCUCGGGAAGACGGAUCCGACGGUGAGGGACGAAAGCCAGGGUCUCGAACCGGAUUAGAUACCCGGGUAGUCCUGGCCGUAAACGAUGUCCGCUAGGUGUGACGCAGGCUACGAGCCUGCGCUGUGCCGUAGGGAAGCCGUGAAGCGGACCGCCUGGGAA
rnacentral:rRNA from 1 species